GAUGAACGCUGGCGGCACGUCUGACACAUGCAAGUCGAACGGCAGGGAGCAAUCCCUGCAGUGGCGAACGGCUGAGUAACACGUAGGAACCUACCCCCCAGUUCGGGACAACGGACCGAAAGGCCCGCUAAUACCGGAUAAUACCGCAAGGUUGAAAGGUUUACCGCUGGAGGAGGGGCCUGCGGCGUAUUAGCUUGAUGGUGAGGUAACGGCUCACCAUGGCGAUGAUGCGUAGCUGGUCUGAGAGGAUGAUCAGCCAGACUGGGACUGAGACACGGCCCAGACUCCUACGGGAGGCAG
rnacentral:rRNA from 1 species